AAAGCGUGCGCAGGCGGUUAUGCAAGACAGAUGUGAAAUCCCCGGGCUCAACCUGGGAACUGCAUUUGUGACUGCAUAGCUAGAGUACGGUAGAGGGGGAUGGAAUUCCGCGUGUAGCAGUGAAAUGCGUAGAUAUGCGGAGGAACACCGAUGGCGAAGGCAAUCCCCUGGACCUGUACUGACGCUCAUGCACGAAAGCGUGGGGAGCAAACAGGAUUAGAUACCCGAGU
rnacentral:rRNA from 1 species